ensembl:lncRNA
GUGGCUACAUGUUGCCACGAUUAAAAAAAAACAACAACAGAUUAUUACUGAAAACAUGAGCUAAAAGUACAGUGCCUCGUCGUUUUUCUCUCCUAUAUCUUCUUGGCUCUUUUUGCUUUCCUUUUCCAGUGUGUUCCUGCCCUCUCUUUGUCUCUCUUGUCUUCUCUCAAUAAGACUGUGUCCUUGCAUGACUGUUAAAAAAAUCAAAUAAUAAAAAAAAAAGCUUUCUAUACAAAGAACAUGGAGGUGCCACACUGCUGGGGAUUCCACUUCGGGACUCUCAGGUCUUUUUUUUUUGUUGUUGGUGGUGGUGGUUCUUUAUAUUCCCGCAAUCUUUUCUUCUUUCGUCGUUGCUAUUGUUGGGGUUUUUGUUUUUUUUGUUUUUUAAGUUCCCUCCUUCAACUUUUUCAAGCUUUCAGAACAUUUCGGAGAGUAGAUUUUUAAGAAACUCGGUCGGGUUAAGUGGGAGAGCAAGACGACAGAUUGACGUGGACGUGACGUGUCCAGCCAUGGAGAUUUUCACUACACAGCAAACCUCACCUUUUACUCGACGCCAAUCAAAGCCACGCUUUCUCACGUUAAAUCAGUCAAAGUCGUGGACCUUAUAGAGCAAACUAGCACUUAUCGACUGAACAGUACAAAGAAAAUGAGUUUAGAGAACGAGAAUCAGACUGCUCUUGGGUUCAUUGCUGUUUAUAUCCAGCAUGGCGCCAUCUAGUGUGAGGUGCUAUAGAGGACAUUGUUCAGUUAUUAGAGCAGAGAAAACUGGCUGGGUUUUUUUUUUCUUUUUUUCUUUUCUUUUUUCUUUCUUUAUCUUUUUUUUUUUCUUUUCUUUUAUUGUUCCUGAAAGGCACUGCAAAAUCCUGUAAGAUAGCUUCAGCCAAGUCCAUGUGCAGCCUGUCUGUUCUGUGUGCCUUUACUCAUUAUAAAUAACGGUUUAUUAUCGUGCAGUUUUGUUUCGUCGGGGAUCAGUUGUGGAUUUUUUUUUUUUUUUUUUUGGUGGUAUAUUCUUAUAUACAUGUAUUUAAAAAAUAAAAAUAAAUUUAAAAAAAAAAAAAAAGGAAAAUCAACAACAACAACAAAAAAUCUUUACUCUGAUUUAUGUCAUUUUAAGUCCAGCGCUUUUGUGAUUUUUGUGAUUGAGUUUGGGAAGGUAUUAAUUAAGUAAUUAAUUAAAAACAAGGCUUUUAUUUCUGCCUCGAGUUGCCCCACUGCUCUUUUUUGGUGGGGCACUUCUUGAGCUUUUUGAAGAAUUUUUUUUUUUUUUUUUUUUUUUUUUAUUGUAAACUGAAUGUCAUGUUUCUAGUGGUUAUUAAUCUUGUUACAGAAUUGUAGCCACAUAUUAACUCUUCUGUAAGUAAUGUUCUAAACCAUGGAAGACUUGUUGUGGAUUUCACUUGCAGGUUUAAAGUUCCCCGCCUCUCCUCGGCUCUCGCCUUCACUGGGGUGUUGAUGUAAUCAUUUGGGGAAACGUUAUAAUUGAAUAUUAAUAUCUAAUUAAAAUAUGUUGCACCUUGAAGAAAAAAGUAAUUACAGAUUACAGUAAUUACAGAUUUUUUUUUUUUUUAAUUACUACUACUACUACUACUACUACUACUACUAUGGGGUAAUUUAGCAUCUGCCAAGUCAUGUAACCUGAACACACCAGAAUAAAC